UACGUAGGGAGCAAGCGUUGUUCGGAUUUACUGGGCGUAAAGGGCGCGUAGGCGGCAAAUUAAGUCAGCUGUGAAAUCUCCGAGCUUAACUCGGAACUGUCAGCUGAUACUGAUCUGCUAGAGUGCGGAAGGGGCAAUCGGAAUUCUUGGUGUGGCGGUGAAAUGCGUAGAUAUCAAGAGGAACACCUGAGGUGAAGACGGGUUGCUGGGCCGACACUGACGCUGAGUGCGCGAAAGCCAGGGGAGCAAACGGG
rnacentral:rRNA from 1 species